UAAAAAGGGAGGAAAGGGGAAAACCUAAAGGUUUCCUCAUGGAAGCUGCAGUGACCGAGUGUGACAGAGUGAGUCACACUGUAAACCCCUCUGUCCACAUACCUUCACUUGUUAGUGCUCAUUGCGGGGUCACUGGUCUUGUUCCAGGCCUUCACUGUCUCUGACACUAAUUAAUGUUGUGUUUGAUACUGUCAGCUGUCCUUUGUAUUUGGCACAUUAACUUUUUCACUGUCUGGGUAUGCAAAUUUAAAACUCUGACUUCAAAAUCACCAGUGCCACAGUACAAACCCACUUCUAAAUAAAGUGUCAUGGUUGAGCAGGGGAUGGAGAACAGAGGACGAUAAGCAGGGAUUGCAGAGGCAGCAGGAAAGAACUGGCUAAGGGAGGGAUUUGGAGAGAAUGGAAGAGACAGAUGGGAGGAGCCAUGGGGAGAGGGAUGCACAGUAGGUCUAGCUUAAGUGCUGCAUAUUUCAAAUUUCCCUAGAGUCCCUUUCCCAUGUCCAUCCUCUUUAAAGUGAUGAGCUCUCUACAUCAGGAGACACAGGGUGGCGACUUGCAGGUGUGGCCUGAGACAGCAGAAGCAGGAAAUCUGCAGGAAGUCCAGAUGGCAGUGUGCCCACUUCUCCAGCAUGAAGGGUCUGAGUCCAGCACAGGAGGAGGAAAGUGACAGCAAGCUGGAGGAAAAUGGGUACCACUUUGGAUGGAAUGCUGGGACAUUGCUCCACUUUGGAAGUGCCUGGCCAUAUCCUGAAUCGUGGACCCCGAGAAUUCCUGACUUGCAUGUGUGCACACUGAGCAUUGGUGACAUGGAGGAAAAAGAGCACCUCUCCCCUCCCCUUCCUGGCAGACUAGCAUGCCAUUGUCUGAGCUCCAGAGGAACUCAGAGGCUCCACACAGCAACAGGAGGACAUGCUGUGGAGGACGAUGACAUGGUUUCUCUUCCAUCAUCCAACUACAGACAACCACCCCAAAUUACCAACAAGACCUGGGGAAUCUACAGGAGUGUGCCCCUGUGAAAGCCUCCCAGUGGGUACUUACUGUUGAAUCCUCCCCAACUUAGACCCCUUUGCAUUUUGACAGUUCAGAAAGUCACCUAUGCCUCUCUGUCUUCACAGAUAACAAAGAAAACCUGCCUGAGCAGGUAAAGAAAUAUCUCAGAAGAGCCUUCGGAAUUAAAUCUGCUUAUCUUUCCGAACUUUAGAAUGGAUCUCAUGAGAAGGGUAGUAUCCAUGGACAACCUGUCCCAGGCCUCCACUAACAUGAAGAGGCAGAACUUGAGGUCAUACAUUUGGCCCAUAUCUCACUGGUAUUAUGCAGAGACAAUUUACAAAGAAAUACUGAAAUAUUUAAUUAGAAUUCCAACAUAAUUUCUAUAAAUUGGCAUUUAGAAUGUAUUGACCCCUGGAGGAGAGAAAUCCAAAGCUAUAUGAGCUCUCAGCUUCUCCCAGUUGUUAUUCUACAGGUGACAGAUGUUUGCAUUUCAUCUAUAGACUCAGCAAAACCCAGUCUAAUGCUCAAAUACAAGAUGUAACAACCAAUGGGACCUAAACCUAGAAGACAUGGUCGAGGUCAGGAGAGAUUCCUCCAGACCCAGAUCUUCUUCGUCCACGACUUCCCACAAAGCCUCAGAAAUCCACAAAGACCUACAUGGAAGUAAUGGAGACUGGAUAUGUGCAACAGAAUAGAAAGCUCAGAAACAGACCCAGCAAAAUCCUGCCAGCUGAUUUUCUCAUAGUCACCCAUGGAAAUCCAAGCAGAGAAAAUGGCUUGUCCACCAAUGAUUGUAGAAGAAGAUUUAAAAACAAAUAAGAAACCCAUUGAAAAACUGAACACAGUCAGCAUUUCUAUUGACCUCAAAUACAAACACUAUAAUGCUCACAUAAAGUUAUAGAAGAGGACUACAUGAUAUUCUGCCUUAUAAAAAGGAAGAUCAGAAAUAACCCAGAGUAGAUGAACUGUGGACUCGAGAGCCCUGCUGCCACCAGACAUGAAAAUACAGAAGCUGGAGCAUGGCAAGAGCAGGACACUCCCCCAGGACAUCCAGAGAGAGCCUGGCCCCUGACACACCCCAGCAGACAACAAAUCCCUGACAGUGAAAGUUGUGUGGCUAUGAGGAGGUGGAGGUGUAGUGUGUGCUGUGUGGUGUGAGGAUGGCUGAAACCUAUCCCAUCAUGUGGGAUGGAGAUGAGCUGUCCAGCUGAUCUGAUAACAGCACUGUAUGGAUGGUCCAGUCAGCUGGGGAAAGCAGCAGGGCUGACACCUAGACACUCACAUGUGCUACCCAUGCCCCUCCCCUUGUUAACAACUUACAUACAGUGUCAGUGUAAGGACAUGAAGGACUCCCCUCACCCACACUCUCCACAGAGUUCUCUAGGUAUUAGGCCUAGGUAUUCAACUCCCUUCUGAUGUCCCACAUGCAAUGCUAGAUUCUAGACCAGGCUAGACAUGCCUCCAACCACAAUGUCCUAAGACAUGGGGAAAUGUACCAGGCCCUGUUGCACACUUUAUCUUCUGACAAGGACACACAUUUACUGCUUGGUUCAAACACUCCUGGAAACUUCCUGCACUGACGUACAACACUAGGUAUAAUGCAACGUGGGACACUACACCCAUGCCACCUCACUUGUACUACCAGCUGUCAGACCAUGAUAACCAAUCUCUACAAGACACACACACACACACACACACACACACACACACACACACACAGCCUCUAAUACACUUCUAAGUCUUGGGCCAUGAAUGACUUUUCACCCAACCACACAUUGACUGCUAAUUAUCCGGCAUUGCUAAACCCUCAGACAUACCUCACAUGUAUUCCUAGGUCUGGAUCUGGUAUGUCACCCACAUAAUCCUUUAUUAACAGCUACUUAUCAGGCCAUACAGGACACUCUCUUGCUACUGUACCCAAAUAUUCUGCUGGUAUUGGACCUCACUUGACAUCUCAUUGUCCACUGCCAACGUUACUUCAAAAUGUUAUCAGACCUUGACAGACACCAGCUCAGCCAUGAGCUGACACACACUCAGUAGGGAUUGUGCAGAGCUUGACACCCCAUUCUUCCACUGCUCCCCUCUGACAUAGUUAUCAUCAAACACACUGGACACAACACCACCCCUGUGACCACACAGCCACUCUAGGUACCAGGUCCAGUUUGACCUCAUACCCCACAUUAAUUGACAGCCAUUAGACAAUUCUGGGAACAUUUCCCCUGUCAGGUCUUGCACAAUACCUAGCAAUUAGCAUUUCUGGACCCCCUCCUUCUGCUGAAGACACAUCCACACCGCUAGGCAUCAGCUUCUACUGCACUCCUUCCUAUGCUAUACCAUGUGCUGGGUCUCAGGCUCUACUGCUAGUUACUGGGCCAUGCUGGACAUUAACCCCUGUCCAAACCACAGUGCAUAUAAAGUGCUGUGUGUAAGGUUGACUUGAACACCAGGCUCCAUCACACAUGACUUGCUAGGUACCAGACAAUGUUGACAGACACCCUUACCCCCUAUAUACACUACUAGCCCAGUGAACAUUGCAAUUUUAAGGCUCUUCUAGACACCUCCAUCACUGACAUAUCACAUUUCUUGUUAUCAGACACUACCACUCUGUGCAGAUUUCAGUCAUGUAUAUUGAAGUAUAUUGUAUGCAUAUAUAAUAAUUGGCUUCGAGUCUUACCAAAAAUAGCACCAUUCUGUUGACAACAUACACUACCAGACAGGGGCAUGGGUCUAAGCACAGCUGAAAAUUAGCAGGGCUAUUGUGGCAGCAGGGUGGGUGAAGGAAGAGAAACUUAUUAGAUGAGGCCUGUUAUCAUGCACAACAUCCGGGUUAGGACCAGGGAGUCCUGAGGAUGUGAUACACAGUAGGGCAUCCAGGCCUCAGGCAGGUGUGCAGCACAGCCUGAAACCAAGCAGUGUGUUUCAGGCUAUAGUGGCAGGGGUAGGAGUGUCCAGCCGGGCAGUGGUACAUGAGUGGGUUUGGCAGCAGGACUAGGGGGCAGUAGCCAACAAGGUGCUUCUGCUGCUAGGUGUCCAUUACCUACAGCCUAUCUCUCUCUCUCUCUCUCCUCUCUCCCUCCCUCCUCUCCCCUCUCUUUCUCCUCUCUUGCUCCUCUCUCUCUUCCUUCCUCUCCCUGAUUCUCACAUACACACACUUAUAUAUAUGUACAUCUAAGCCUCUAUACUUAUAGGUAUAUACUUGCCUAGAGACAAAGACUUCCAAUACAUGCUAUUCGACUGGUCCUUCAGGGUAUUGCCUCCAUUACAGGCAAAGCCACUCCCUCAUCAACACACAAUACACACACACACACACACACACACACACACACACACACACACACACACGUAGUUACGUGGCAGGUUCUGUUAGAUAUACACUUGCCUCAGAGCCAAAGCCUUUCAAACAGGGCCAGGUGUCAGCUUCUGUUAGGUCCACUCUUCCCUACAGCCUAUAUCCUUCUUACACAGCUAGGUAUAAUGAACUCCUAGACAUCCACUGCCAUACAGUAAAGUCCCAUGCACAAGGCUAGGCAUCAUAUCCUGCUAGGAACCGCGGACAGGGACAAACACCCAGGCACAGCUCUCAUAUUCAUAUAAGGCAAGUGUCAGGCUCAAGUAUUUGUCUCUAGCCUUACAACCAAAGUUCCACAUACACAAACAUGAUUAGGUUUUAGGAUCUGCUAGGUACCUUCUUCCCCACAGCAAAACGCCAGGUUAACAAACAUACAAACAUAGAAAUGCAAUCAUGCACACAUGCACAUAUGCAAACAAUCAUGCAUGCAGGCCUGUGGGAACCCUCCCCAGGGUGUGAGUCCCAGGAGUUUUUCCUCUAGCCACAUGAAUGGAGCUUUGGAUUUAGGGGAAGGCUAGGACUUUGCACCUACCUGCAAGUCUGUGGCAUUGUUGUAGAAGUGGGAGAGUCCUUGCAGGAAUACAAGUAGCCAAAUAUGUGUUUAUGGCUUUGGCUGUAAGGGUGAGAAGACAAUGUUACCAUUGACACCUAGCCCUGUGUGGAGAGCUUGGGCAUAAAAUAGAAGUCCAUUAGGACUUGACUCUGUGUGUGUGUGUGUGUGUGUGUGUGUGUGUGUGUGUGUGUGUGUGUGUGUGUGU